rnacentral:lncRNA from 1 species
UGGCUUGUUAUGUUAUAUGUGAUCGUAGUAGUAGGGGUGAAAUAGUCCCCGAGGAUCGGUUGUUAGGACCGAUGGGUAGUCAGCACCCCAGAAUGGCUUGACACGGGUAAGACGGCACCCCAGAAUGGCCGUAUGGGUAGGUCAGCACCCCAGAAUGGCUUGACACGGGUAGGUCGGCACCCCAGAAUGGCCGUACCGGGUAGUCAGGCACCCCAGAAUAGCCUGGCAGUAUAUAUGUUAUGUGUUUGUAUGGUAUGCGGUACGUUGGGGGAACUCACUAAGCUUUGUGCUUACGUUUACAGUUUUGUUUUCAGGUACCUCUGCAUCGAAGGGGAAGGAGCCGGCGCGGUAGCGGCACGUCAUACACACACUCUUCGGUUUCCGCAUUUAUGAGAUUUACUGGGAUUGUACUCUGAUAUUUGGAUGGGAUGUACGGUUUGGCUUUUGAGAACAUGGUUGCAAUGUGUUAUGGUGUGAACAAACAAUGUUUCUUUUUAUUUAGACAAUGUUUUUAUUUAUUAAUGUUUUCUAAAGUAAUAUCAAAAAAAAAAAAAAUUUUGGGUCGUUACAAGUUGGUAUCAGAGCCCUGGUUUGAGGGAUUCGGACACGCCUUCGGGAGUGUUUGGACUCAAACCGAGGGAUUGAAAGAUUUUUCCAAAAGAAAUUAUUCUUUAAAACCCGGAAAAGAGUCACGAGAAAGAGUAAAGUGUGUGACGUGCGCGACCGGCCGAGCUCAAGUAAGUAUUCCCCAUAGUACCCAUACAAGUUUAUGUUAUGUUUAUCAGCUUUAUGAAUAUUGCAUGCUAGAAUAGGCUAAGGAUCUAGGAGUGAUGCCUUAUGUGCCUGUUUAUUUGUUACAGCUUAUUGAAUAUUGCAUGCUAGAAUUGAGUAGACAGCAGUAGGGUAGCCUGUUUAGGUUAUGCCUGAUAGUAUGAGCUUAGCAUCCUAUGUUAAGUGUCGUUUCUUGUUCUAAGAACAGUUUUGGCUUGAGUCUGUUUUUCCUUAUCCGAAUGCUGCUUGCUUCGUGCUCGGUGGGAUUCUGAGUAAUGGGAGUGAGCCACUAGGUAAACACGUCACACCACAUGUAAUCGGGGUUGAAUAAUCCCAAAGUGUUGGAACUGGCCCUAUUGCGCAGCUCUUGUUUGAGUCCAACCGUUGUAGGGACGGGCCUUUUACUUGAAGGAUGAUCUAAUCCUCAUCACAGGUGGUGGUGUUUAGGUGGUGGCUAACUGGCAUUAUGAGGAGACCUACAGCAGCUGAGGACCAGUUGUGUUGAACUUGAGUUCUCCCUAGGGCAAGCCUAGGGUGAGAAUAUCGGAGAGUAGCAGUAGUAGAGGGGAGUUGGUGGAGUCGAGGAAUUCCUCGGAGAAGGUACGGAUAGAUGUGGAAGGUAGUAUGGGCCCGUACUACUGAAAGCAGAGGAUCCGUACCCGAGCCGAGGAAGGCCAAGACGAGACCAAGGAACCUGUAAGUAGUUGAGAUCCCUCAGAAAGUAGCAGUACCACUAAUGAUUAUUAUUGAUGUUUUGCAGAAUGGUGGUACUUCGACCGAGACCGACAGAUGGCGGGUCAGGAGAGGGGUCAGGUUCGGGAUCUGGCACCGAGCCGAUUGAGGAGAGGCUACGUGAGUUCAUCACGUCGGAGAUCACUAGGGGCAUCCUUGAGUCGACCCCCAUCAUCUUUGGGUCGAUCAAGGAAGGGAUCGUGGAGAUGAUGGAGGAUCGCCUACGGGCAUUCAGGAGCGACUUGGCCUCUAGCCAGUCAGGAUCUCGCACACUGUCCUUCAAGGACUUCAGGAGCAGUGGUGCGCCGGAUUUCCAUGGGGUGAAGGACCCCAUUGUCGCCAGGCGGUGGAUUGCGGAUAUCGAGUCCGCCCAGUUGAUCAGCUUCUGCCCCGAGGGGUCGAAGGUGAGGUACGCAGCAGGGUGUUUACGGGACCGGGCCCGAGAUUGGUGGGAGUCAGUGGGUGACUCGAUGGGAGCCUCGGCUAUCGAGGCAAUGACCUGGUCGGACUUUGUGGCUAGGUUCAGGGCAGAGUUUGCGCCAGCGGUCGAGCUUCAGCAGCUGGCCAGGGAGUUCUUAGACAUGAGGCAGACGACAGAGACCGUGGCGGAGAUCACCGCCAAGUUUCGGGAGAGGGCUUUAUUGGUGCCCCAGUAUGCAGGUGACGAGGAUAUGAGGAGGACUCGUUACCAUGAUAUGCUACGAGCUGACAUUCGGGAGCAUGUUAGUUUUUCGGCUUGCCCUACCCUGGACUCCAUGAUUGCCAGGGCUAGGGAGAGAGAGAUAGAUUUGGAGCACAUCCGGAAACGGAAACUUGAGGAUGGUCAGUCAUCAGGGGCUUCGGGGAAGAAGCCCAAGGGAUCAGAUGGGAGGCCGAAAGGCCAGUCGGGACCGAGCCGCUGCAGGAGGUGCGGCAGGGCGCACGAGGGGGCGUGCAGGAUGGGAUCGUCAGGCUGCUACAAGUGCGGCAAGUUUGGGCAUAUCAGCAGGGAUUGCACUGCUCCUGCGACCGUUAUUCAGACAUCGGAGUUGCUGUGUUUCCACUGCAACCAGAGGGGCCACAAGAAGGCCAAUUGCCCCAUGUUGACAGCUUCAGCGCCAGUGAAGGCGCCAGCUCCAGCGACCCUGCGGAUCACGGAUGGCCGUCAGGGCAAGGCAGAGGCUCCAGUGGUGAGGAGUCGGGCAUUUCAGUUGACUGCCGAGGAGGCACGCGCCGCGCCCGAUGUGGUGACGGGUAUGAUUCCUUCCUUCUAUCUUUUAUUUUACGUUGUUAUGAUAUUGAUAUGUGCUCCGUGUGUAUACAUGUGUAUUAGGAUCGUUCCAUGUGAACGGCAUCCCGGUUCAGGUAUUGUUCGACUCGGGUGCAUCCCGAUCGUUCGUUUCUCUUGCUCUUAGCAAGAGAUUUCAUGAGACUUCAGGCGAGUUAGAUUGCCCGUUAGAGGUAGAGAUUGCCGAUGAUCGAUCGGUGCGAGCAUCGAUGGUGUUUCGAGAUUGUGUCCUGCGACUGUUUGAGGAGUGUUACCUGGUAGACUUGGUUCCCAUUCCAUUGCGUGGGAACAAGGUGAUUAUUGGUAUGGAUUGGUUGAGCCCUAAUGGGGCAGUGAUAGAUUGCGCACAGCAGCUAGUGCGAGUCAAGACCCCAAGCGGGGGAGAGUUAGUGAUUCAUGGAGAGCGGCCGCAGUGUGGACCCACUGUAUGUUCAGCAGCGAGGGCUAGGCGCUACCUUCAGCAGGGAUGCGCGGGUUAUGUCGCGUACGUGAUGGACACCCGGGAGGCGGGUAAGGCGACCGUGAGCGAGGUCCCGGUGGUUCGAGAUUUUGCUGAUGUUUUUCCGGAGGAACUACCUGGGAUACCUCCGGAGCGACAGGUGGAGUUCAGGAUUGACCUCGUUCCCGGUGCGGCUCCGAUAGCCAAAGCACCGUAUCGGUUGGCUCCUCCCGAGAUGCAGGAGUUGUCUACGCAGCUGCAGGAGCUGCUGGACAAGGGAUUUAUUCGGCCGAGCAGUUCGCCCUGGGGAGCCCCGAUUCUGUUUGUGAAGAAGAAGGAUGGGUCGCAUCGGAUGUGUAUAGAUUAUCGGGAGCUGAACAAGGUAACGGUGAAGAACCGUUACCCGCUUCCGAGGAUUGAUGACCUCUUUGACCAGCUUCAGGGCGCAUCUUGGUUCUCCAAGAUUGAUUUGCGUUCGGGUUAUCAUCAGAUGAGGGUCAGGGAGGAGGAUAUGCAGAAGACCGCGUUUCGGACGCGCUAUGGCCAUUACGAGUUUGUGGUGAUGCCGUUUGGGCUCACCAAUGCUCCUGCCGCGUUCAUGGACCUCAUGAACCGUGUAUGCAGACCGAUGCUGGACCGGUCUGUGAUAGUCUUUAUCGAUGAUAUCUUGGUUUAUUCCAAGACCCGGGAGGAACAUGAGGAGCAUUUGAGAGAGGUGUUAGAGACCCUGAGGAGGGAGAGCUUGUAUGCCAAGUUCUCCAAGUGUGAGUUUUGGUUGCGCGAGGUGCAAUUUCUGGGGCACCUCGUCAACCAGAACGGGAUUCUGGUCGAUCCGGCCAAGGUCGAGGCCGUGAUGAGAUGGGAGGUUCCGAAGUCCCCAUCUGAGAUUCGGAGCUUCCUAGGAUUGGCAGGCUACUAUCGGAGAUUUAUCCAGGAUUUCUCCAAGAUAGCCGUGCCCCUGACGCGGCUGACGAAGAAAGCCGUGGUCUUUCGGUGGGGACCCGAGCAGCAGGCUGCAUUUGAGACGCUGAGACAGAGAUUGUGUGAGGCGCCGAUCUUAGCCCUGCCAGAGGGCGUAGAGGAUUUCGUGGUUUAUUGCGAUGCGUCCAUUUCUGGGUUGGGCGCGGUGCUGAUGCAAAGGGGGCAUGUCAUUGCUUACGCUUCGAGGCAGCUCAAGCCUCACGAGGCGAACUACCCGACGCACGAUUUGGAGUUGGGGGCGGUGGUAUUUGCCCUCAAGAUUUGGCGACAUUACCUCUAUGGGGUUCGGUGUACCAUCUACACGGACCACAAGAGCUUGAGGUACCUCAUGGACCAGCCGAAUCUGAACAUGAGGCAGCGUCGGUGGUUGGAUGUGGUGAAGGAUUAUGAUUGCGAGAUCCUUUACCACCCGGGAAAGGCCAAUGUGGUGGCCGAUGCGCUUAGCCGCAAGACGGCGCCGAUCAGGGACGCCUGUUUGAGGAUGACUGUGGUGACUCCCCUGUUGGAGCAGAUUCGGGAAGCUCAACAGGAGGCUAUCAAGGAGGAGCAUCGGAAGAACGAGCGCGUAGUAGGUCAGGUUUCCUCCUUCGAUUAUGAUAGCCGAGGGUUAUUGACACUACACCAUAGGGUGUGGGUGCCGUAUCACGGGGGCGUGCGCCAGAUUUUGAUGGAGGAGGCGCACAAGUCCCGAUUCUCUAUUCAUCCCGGGGCGACGAAGAUGUAUAGGGAUCUUCGUCUAGACUAUUGGUGGCCCUGCAUGAAGCGGGAUGUGGCAUGGUACGUCGAGCGGUGCUUGACCUGCAGGAAGGUCAAGGCCGAACAUCAGAGGCCGCAUGGCAAGAUGCAGCCGUUGGACAUUCCACUGUGGAAGUGGGAAGAUAUCACGAUGGAUUUUAUCACGAAGCUUCCCAGGACCGCGCGUGGAGUGGAUUCGAUUUGGGUCAUCGUGGAUAGAUUGACCAAGAGUGCUCACUUUAUUCCGAUUCCGGAGAGCAUAUCGGCCGAGAAAUUGGCCGACAUCUAUAUCAGGGAGAUUGUGGCACGGCAUGGGGUGCCAGUAUCGGUGAUCUCGGACAGGGAUGUGCGUUUUACUUCCAGGUUUUGGAAGAGAUUCCAUGACGAGUUGGGCACUCGUCUGCAUUUCAGCACCGCCUUUCACCCGCAGACAGAUGGACAGAGUGAGCGGACCAUCCAGACUUUGGAGGACAUGUUGCGGGCGUGUGUUCUGGAUUUCGGUGGUAGCUGGGAUACCUAUCUUCCUUUGGCUGAGUUCUCCUACAACAACAGCUAUCACGCGAGUAUCGACCGCCCUCCCUUCGAGAUGUUGUACGGACGGAGGUGUAGGACCCCGAUAUGCUGGGGUGAGGUUGGCCAGAGAGUUAUGGGAAGCACCGAAGUGGUGCUCAAGACGACUGAGAGGAUACAGCAGGUCCGGAGCAGGCUUCAGACUGCUCAGAGUCGACAGAAAAGUUAUGCCGACAAGCGUCGAUCCGAUUUAGAGUUCCAGGUCGGGGAUAUGGUCCUCCUGAAGGUGUCACCGUGGAAAGGCGUCAUCCGAUUCAGGAAGCGGGGCAAGUUGGGCCCGCGAUUCAUCGGACCGUUCAGGGUCUUAGCCCGGGUGGGCAAGGUAGCAUAUAGGCUGGAUCUGCCAGCCGAGCUUAGCCAGAUCCACAGCACUUUCCAUGUUUCGCAGUUGCGGAAGUGCCUAGUGGACGAUUCUGCAGUAGUACCUUUGGAGGAUAUUCAGGUUGAUGACAGCCUGAACUACAUCGAGCGCCCAGUCGCAAUCCUCGACAGGAAGUCGAAGGAUUUAAGGAACAAGAGGGUGGAGCUAGUGAAGGUGCAAUGGCAGCACCGCAAGGGUUCAGAGUGGACUUGGGAGCCGGUAGACGAGAUGAUGGAGCACUACCCCGAGCUGUUUCAGGAUCAGGCAGCAGACUUCGAGGACGAAGUCUAAAAUAAGUGGGGGAGAUUUGUAGCACCUGGUUUCCGGUAUGUGAAUUUUAUUUGAGCAUUGCCCUAAUUUAGCCUUAGACUCGGCGAGUCAUAGGGUCCGACUCGCCGAGUAGGGACGAGACUCAGGACGCGUUUUAAGUAGGCGACUCGACGAGUCCAUAUCCUGGACUCGGCGAGUCACCGCUGCGGGAUGAAACCCUAAGUUUCAAGGGUUUGCACCCUAUUUAAACCCUCAUUCCGCCCCAACUCGUCCCCAUUCACCCCCAGAACUCCCCCUACAUCGUUUUCCCUUGUUUCCUUGAGAGUUUGAGGUGUUCUUGGUGUGUUCUUGAAGGUUUUGAAGAGUAAGAGGAGUAGAUCAAGAAGAGGAGAAGGAGAUCAGCCAUCCUUGUGUCAUUUCAACAUUUCCUUUGAGGUAUAACCCGUUUUCCCCUUGAUUCUAUGCUUAAAACUUCAUUUGGGUCCUUCUUGGUCAAUUCCCCAAGUUUGCAUGUUCAUUAUAUGUUGUAAUAAGGCGUUUGGCCUUUGGAUCUAUGUAAGAUUGAGCUCCAGGAGCUCAGAUCUGUUAGCUUUUUGGCCUCAUGAGGCUUGUUAGCCCUAGAUCUACCAUUUUGAGACAUUUUGAGCCUUAUAAUCCAUAUUGGUGAAUAUCCACACGUAAAGUUGGAAACUUUACGUGUGAUUCGUGUCCUAGAAGUCCAGAUCUAUGAAUGGCAUGGUCUGGAACCGAGCAAAUCGGUAUAUUUAAGGAGUGCAUGGCGACGACUCGGCGAGUCGCAUAGGUGACUCGGCGAGUCUGGUCGCGAGUCACCGAAUUGGUCCCUUCUUCAUGUGUCGAGUUGAGCCUUGAGUCACAGGGGGUGACUCGGUGAGUUGGGAGCUGAACUCACCCAUGUUAGGACUCGGCGAGUCAAUGCCCUGACUCGGCGAGUCCAAGGCAAUCUUCAUAGCUCAAGAACAGACUCGGCGAGUUGUUCAUACAACUCGGCGAGUCUUAGCAUAAAGUGUUCAUCGGAUGAAGAUGAACUCGACGAGUUGUUCAUACAACUCGGCGAGUAGGAUGAAGGUGUUGAAUGGCAGUUAGAAGGUGAACUCGUCGAGUCAUAGCCCGACUCGACGAGUAGAACCAGGGACCCAGGACAUUGGUUUGCUAGGGACUCGGCGAGUGGUGAUCCACUCGGCGAGUCGGGUCAACUGAAAGUUGACUCCAGCUUUGGCUUAGAGUUAAUCCAGGGGUAAAAUGGUCAUUUUACCUAAAGGACAGUUAGCAGUGUUUGAUUGAGUAUGUCGUGGAAAUUGCAGCCGGAGGACUCCCGGAGCAGCAGCAGUCAGUUAGUUCCCGAUCAGUUCAGCAGCUACUUUGAGGUGAGUUACCUUCCAGUAGCGGUGGGUCUAAGGCCACAAUGCCGACCCACCAGUAGGAGUUGUAUGAUAGAUGAUUGUCUUUGUGAUAUCAUCUAAGUUCGCUAGUACCUGACAUGUUAUAUGCUAGCAUGAUAUGCUGUAUGUGAUAGUAGUAGAGUUUGGUUGUUCGGACCGAAGGGUAGUCAGACACCCCAGAUACGUCUGACAGUAUGUGACGAUAUGUAUGCAUGCUGGCUUGUUAUGUUAUAUGUGAUCGUAGUAGUAGGGGUGAAAUAGUCCCCGAGGAUCGGUUGUUAGGACCGAUGGGUAGUCAGCACCCCAGAAUGGCUUGACACGGGUAAGACGGCACCCCAGAAUGGCCGUAUGGGUAGGUCGGCACCCCAGAAUGGCCGUACCGGGUAGUCAGGCACCCCAGAAUAGCCUGGCAGUAUAUAUGUUAUGUGUUCGUAGGGUAUGCGGUACGUUGGGGGAACUCACUAAGCUUUGUGCUUACGUUUACAGUUUUGUUUUCAGGUACCUCUGCAUCGAAGGGGAAGGAGCCGGCGCGGUAGCGGCACGUCAUACACACACUCUUCGGUUUCCGCAUUUAUGAGAUUUGCUGGGACUGAACUCUGAUAUUUUGAUGGGAUGUAUGGUGUGGUUUUUAGAACAUGGUUGCAAUGUGUUAUGGUGUGAACAAACAAUGUUUCUUGUUAUUUAGACAAUGUUUUUAUUUAUUAAUGUUUUCUCAAGUCAUAUUUUAAAAAUGAAAUUUUCGGACGCAAAAAAAAAAAUUGGGUCGUUACAUGUCACCUAUUCUACUCACACCUAAUCUAGAUAUGAACACAGGAAGAAAUAC